CCACUACGCCCUUCGCAACCUUCCAACUCCCUUCGAGAUUUCUUCGAGAAGCCACUGAAGCACUUCGACCCUUUUUCCCUGAAGUUCGAGAGAGGUGUUGCCCAGUUCAUGAUCGGAGCUGAACCCACCGGCGACGAAGGAAGCUAAGUAUUCUCUUAACAAUACUUCUAUCAAAUAGUAACCUUCUUCUUCAGAUUUCUUAUACUUUUUUUUUUUUUUAUUAUUGAAGGUAUUACACUCCGCCUAACCCCACCCGAGUUCCCCUCCCAUUCUGUCGUAGCUGAGUUCCAUACGAAGGAGAUGGAGGAGAAAGUGGCAGAAGCCGUAGUCGAAGCCCAAUCUCAGGAGGAUACAACAAUUCUGUUGUUGACAAAGUUGGCUUUUGAAAGAACGAUGCAAGCUCUAAGCUUGCACACUGAUAAAGCGGAGACGGAGAAGGAAAAUAUCUUGAAAUGUCUAGCAGACUUUCUUGGGAUAAAAUUGGGUGACAUCAAAUAUGAUGAUUCGUUUGCUGGUGAGUCUGUUUUGUUGCAUCAUGAUGUUGCUCUCGAGGCUUAUAAAGCCGUUCUGAGGAUAUUGAUACUGAAAGAAGAGUCAAUUACAUUGGAAAGAUGCCGACUGUUAAUGCGCUUUGUGUGCAACAUUGGGAUUUCGUUAGAGGAUGCUUAUUCAAUCUUGGAUGAAACUAUGAAGGAAAGUGAUACUGAUCGUUUGGCACGUAACACGAGUGUUAUGCAGGACCACCGUGGGCUGGACCGAAAAGAUGACACUAUGAUACAGAGGAAACGGAACGUAGAGCGACUUAUGCAGCUGAGUAAAAGAGAAGAAGAAAAGAACUCACAUAUGGCUUCAGGAUUUGUAUCUUCCAUCAUCAAGUGGACAACCGAAAAGCUUUCUUCUUUGAUUCCUGCACAGAUGGCCGGUUGUUCAACAUCCGAACCUUGCACUCACGUCAGUGAAGACUUCGAGAUGCUGCAGAAGACGAUGCUGUCGAUCCAAAAAGUGCUCGAGAACACGGAAGAGAAGGACAUGCAGAGUUUCUCUGAAAAACUCCACAUAAAGGAGCUGAGUGGAGCCGCUCACGAUGCGGAAGACGUGCUCGAAGAGUAUGAGUAUGAAGUGCUGCGAGCAAAAGUCAUAGCCCGGAGACAAGUAGGCAGUGGCCGGAAGCGCAAGUUCGAGGAGGUGGCGAAAAAAUCUGUUCGGAGUGGACCUAGAAGUCAUCAUACCUGUAUACAAUAUUUUUUCCUGGGCUUUGAAAUUUGCUCUAAUUUGAAGAAAUGUCCUGUUUUUGUUGGUCGAUUGGUCCUUUGCCUGGCAGUUUGCACUUUGUUGCUUCAGAGUGGAAUUAUGGAUUUGCUGUUUAUUGUUUUUGAGUCCUCUAGGUGGGAAAAUAAAAGGAGGUGUUCACAGGGGAGAUAGAGUUCACCAUACCAGCCCAGAUUCGAGGGCCUUCUGUUUCGGCUGCUGCUCCUUCUGAGGCGGAUCGUGGGAAAGGCGUGACGAGUUAGAGCCUACCCUUCGAGUACAGUGCUAGAGGACUCCCGCUGCAGUCGAUUCCCAAGUUCAUCUUCCAACCGAUGCCGCUUGCCCCACUAGAUGCCGCUCCGACUCCUACCGUGCGCUCUCUGGACGGAAUAUUAGCUGAGUUCAUGGCCGGCUCUUCUUCCCGUUGCGCCGACCCAGGUAGCGAUGCUUCGUUUCUGCUUAUUGAUCCCCUCCGGUCACGAAAAUGGUGAUUGUCAGUGCAUAUCUGCAUUUUGUUAAGAGAUACUUGCUUAAGCUCCCUUUUCUCCAUCCUCUGCCCCGCGCGCCGGCGCCGACGCGAGCUCGCACACUAUGGAAAAAACUGUGGGCCUCCCAUGUCUACUUUGAAGCUAAGCGUGUCUAUGCAUUCAGGGAUACUGUUUUAGCAAAACUCAGCACACAAAUAUCCUGAAAUUGAAUUUGGCGGCAUAAAAGAAGCAUCUGAUCUACAAGAUAUAGAGGUGCCAAAUACAUGAGCAGAGGAAAAUAUUCAUGAUAUAGCGAUAAAUCUACAUGUGGCAAGCGCUACAUGUUUUUCGAGAGUUGGGAAUGUGAUAUCUAAUACAUAUGUUGUAAUGAGUGCAUGCCAUAGAAAAAUUUCGCUGGUAGAGGCAUGGCUAGCGAUGCGAACUUCAAUACUGUUGGAAGAAAAUUUAUGUGAACCCGAUGCCGCGAUGAUGACGGUUUCUAUUAAUGUUUGAAGGAUGGCAUAGAUUGCAACAUUUGUGCAA